rnacentral:rRNA from 1 species
UACAGAGGUCUCAAGCGUUGUUCGGAUUCAUUGGGCGUAAAGGGUGCGUAGGUGGCGGGGUAAGUCUGGUGUGAAAUCUCGGGGCUCAACCCCGAAACUGCACUGGAUACUGCCUUGCUAGAGUACUGGAGAGGAGAUUGGAGUUUACGGUGUAGCAGUGAAAUGCGUAGAUAUCGUAAGGAAGACCAGUGGCGAAGGCGAAUCUCUGGACAGUUACUGACACUGAGGCACGAAGGCCAGGGGAGCAAACGGG